CCUACGGGAGGCAGCAGUGAGGAAUAUUGCUCAAUGGGCGAAACCCUGAUCCAGCGACGCCGCGUGAGGGAAGACGUAUUUAGGUGCGGAAAGCUCUAUCAGCAGGGAAGAAAAUGACGGUACCUGACUCAGAAGCCCCGGCUAACUACGUGCCAGCAGCCGCGGUAAUACGUAGGGAGCAAGCGUUAUCCGGAUUUACUGGGUGUAAAGGGAGCGUAGACGGUAGGGCAAGUCAGGAGUGAAAUCCCAUGGCUUAACCAUGGAACUGCUUGUGAUACUGUGCAGCUAGAGUGCAGUAGAGGUAAGCGGAAUGCAUGGUGUAGCGGUGAAAUGCUUAGAUAUUAGGAGGAACACCAGUGGCGAAGGCGGCUUACUGGGCUGUAACUGACGUUGAGGCUCGAAAGCGUGGGGAGCAAACAGGAUUAGAUACCCGUGUAGUC
rnacentral:rRNA from 1 species